rnacentral:ncRNA from 1 species
AAGUAUAUAUUUAAGUUGUUGCGGGUUAAUUCGCUCGUAGUUGGAUUUUGGGCGCAGGCGGCCGGUCCGUCGCAAGGCGUGUAUUGGACGUCCUGGCCUUCCCUCCGGUUCUCCGCCGGUGCUCUUGACUGAGUGUCGGCGGCGGCCGGAACGUUUACUUUGAAAAAAUUAGAGUGUUCAAAGCAGGCUCUCGAGCCUGGAUAAUGGUGCAUGGAAUAAUGGAAUAGGACCUCGGUUCUAUUUUGUUGGUUUUCGGAGCGCGAGGUAAUGAUUAAGAGGGACAGACGGGGGCAUUCGUACUGUGCCGUUAGAGGUGAAAUUCUUGGAUCGGCGCAAGACGAACGACUGCGAAAGCAUUUGCCAAGAAUGUUUUCUUUAAUCAAGAGCGAAAGUCAGAGGUUCGAAGACGAUCAGAUACCGUCCUAGUUCUGACUAUAAACGAUGCCAACUAGCGAUCGGGGGGCGUUACAUUGACGACCCCUCCGGCAGCUUACGGGAAACCAAAGUCUUUGGGUUCCGGGGGAAGUAUGGUUGCAAAGCUGAAACUUAAAGGAAUUGACGGAAGGGCACCACCAGGAGUGGAGCCUGCGGCUUAAUUUGACUCAACACGGGAAAUCUCACCCGGCCCGGACACAGUGAGGAUUGACAGAUUGAGAGCUCUUUCUUGAUUCUGUG